GGGUCCGUAGCUCAAUUGGUUAGAGCCGGCGGCUCAUAACCGCUUGGUUGCAGGUUCGAGUCCUGCCGGACCCACCA
rnacentral:tRNA from 2 species